UCAAAAUGCUGAUUGCAUGGAAAACAGAGAGGCCUUCUUUGUGCUGUCAACUAAAAUACCCACACUCCAUCCUACUGACAGGCAGAACAUUUCCCACCAACGUGGUAGCCCAGGGCACUGAUAAUUCUCAAUGACAAGGUCCCCGGUAUGAUCACCCGCAGAGGCCGGGAUGCACAUUGUCUUCCUUCCAUUGUUUGAAGAUUGAGAGGAAAGUAAGGAAGAAGGCCAAAGAUGCUCAAGACUGUUGUCACUCAGAGCUGAACAUCCCGCAGAUAGAUGCAUCCUACAAAGAGCCCUUCCUCCACUGAAUAAGGAUCUCCCCAGCCCUAGGAUAGACUAGACAUCUACCCCUGUCACCAGCGUUUGAUUGCAGCCUCUGCUGGGAUCAGGUCUCCUGCAACUUUCAAUCAAGGGUCAAAAGGUCAAAUGAUCUACUUGUUCCUGAGUGAGCUCCUCACAUCUGUCCACGGAUCAACACACAGUUAGAGAGAAGACAAAUCAUCAGAGAAACUGAAGGAGGAGCUGCUCCUGACUCAUACUUUUCAGAGUUCUGCCACAGAGGGAGAGGAGUCACCUGCCUUGUCUGGGGAUCAGCAAAUCUGGAUUCUAUUUAUACAUUCCCUUUAACCUGUCUGCUCUCAGUUCUGUCUUCAUCCCAGAUUUAGAAAGAUCAGAUAUCUCCAGUGUUUCAGCCUUCCAAAUGCAAGCUGCUAAUUUGCUCUUCACAUUUACCUAUUUUUUUUUCUUCAGGGUUAAACUUUUUCAAGUCUGGAAAACUCAGUUAUCACGAGUCCACUGCCUUUGCUGAUUCCAGGUCUCUUGCAAUAUUCUUCAUUCCCAACCUGCUAGUUUCAUGAUCUAAUCCAUGUUUAAUAGUACAGUAGAAGAAAAUGAAGGUGACUGUCUAGCACACACAAUCUCAGCAUUCAAGGAAGAAGCACGUAGACCUCUGUGAGUUCAAGGUUAGCCUGGUCUACAUAGCAAACAAACAAAUAAAAUAAUACACAUAUGUAUAGAAGUACGCAUACACACACAAAUGGAUGAACUCUAGUAAGAUGGCUUGGUGGUUAAGAGCAUUCUUAAGUAAUAUUCUUAGCAUAUUUGGUUCUGUCCUAUGUGUUAUACCAAAUAAACACAAGGAAACCCUGGGUAAGUGUAGUGUAUGGGUAAGGCUAAGAGUAAUGGUAAAGGAAAGGGUAAGAGAAAGUAAGGGUUAGGAUGGGGUAAAUCUAACUGUUACAGACAUUUCCCCUGAAACUGUUUUCAUGAGUCAUCUGCCUUUAGUUAUCUCUACAAUGGAAGUAGACUUCUUGCUGUUCUUGCAGAAGGCCAAUGAUGGAUUCCCAGUACCCACAUGGUUGCUCAUAAUUAUCUAAAACUCCAGUUUCAGGAGAUCUGGCACAGCCUUUGAGCUGCUAUGAGAACCAGGCACAUACAUAGUACACAAACAUAAAUGCAGAUUAAUACUCAUACAUAUAAAAUAAAAACAAAUCAAUGUUUUUUAAAUAAAAAUACCAUCCUUAAUGGGAAUGUAAAUUUUCACAAGGCUGGUUGGGUUCCAUAACAAUCACUAGGGAAUUUUAUCUGGGUAUCAGGAAUUUAAUUCUAAAAUAACAGUGGCAAAUUCGCCUAUAGCUAGAGCUUAGUCAUAGAUUUGUUGUGUCUAAGCAAACAACUUUUCAAUGCCAUAGGAAUAAAUGAUUAAUAUUAAUUACUUAUUUAAUGGCCAAAACACCUUUUAAAUACACACAUCUACACAUAGCCCAAUAUAACCUCCAAUGUGAUGGUUAUCAACAAGCAGAGUCAAUGUGAGCUGAAUACAUCUCCAGGGUGAAGCUCCCUUCUAAAGAGGCCUGAGAACCUUUCAGCCCUUACUCUUCUGUUGUGAGGACACCUACAGUACCAUCCAGGAAGAUUGGUCCUCACCAGACACCAGAUCGUCCUUAGGCUUCAUCCUCCACACCUAUGAGAUACCUAUGUUGUUUGCGAAUUUCCUAGCCUAGAGUUGAAAUAGCUCAAAU
rnacentral:lncRNA from 1 species